UAUUAAAUGUAAAUACAAUGCCCAUUCUC
rnacentral:piRNA from 1 species